GAUGAACGCUGGCGGCGUGCCUAAUACAUGCAAGUCGAGCGAACAGACGAGGAGCUUGCUCCUCUGACGUUAGCGGCGGACGGGUGAGUAACACGUGGAUAACCUACCUAUAAGACUGGGAUAACUUCGGGAAACCGGAGCUAAUACCGGAUAAUAUAUUGAACCGCAUGGUUCAAUAGUGAAAGACGGUUUUGCUGUCACUUAUAGAUGGAUCCGCGCCGCAUUAGCUAGUUGGUAAGGUAACGGCUUACCAAGGCAACGAUGCGUAGCCGACCUGAGAGGGUGAUCGGCCACACGGGAACUGAGACACGGUCCAGACUCCUACGGGAGGCAGCAGUAGAGAAUCUUCCGCAAUGGGCGAAAGCCUGACGGAGCAACGCCGCGUGAGUGAUGAAGGUCUUCGGAUCGUAAAACUCUGUUAUUAGGGAAGAACAAAUGUGUAAGUAACUAUGCACGUCUUGACGGUACCAAAUCAGAAAGCCACGGCUAACUACGUG
rnacentral:rRNA from 1 species